UAGGGAAUCUUCCACAAUGGGCGAAAGCCUGAUGGGGCAACGCCGCGUGUGUGAUGAAGGGUUUCGGCUCGUAAAACACUGUUGUAAGAGAAGAAUGACAUUGAGAGUAACUGUUCAAUGUGUGACGGUAUCUUACCAGAAAGGAACGGCUAAAUACGUGUCAG
rnacentral:rRNA from 1 species